AUUGAACGCUGGCGGCAUGCCUUACACAUGCAAGUCGAACGGUAACAGGUCUUCGGAUGCUGACGAGUGGCGAACGGGUGAGUAAUACAUCGGAACGUGCCCGAUCGUGGGGGAUAACGAAGCGAAAGCUUUGCUAAUACCGCAUACGAUCUACGGAUGAAAGCAGGGGACCGCAAGGCCUUGCGCGAACGGAGCGGCCGAUGGCAGAUUAGGUAGUUGGUGGGAUAAAAGCUUACCAAGCCGACGAUCUGUAGCUGGUCUGAGAGGACGACCAGCCACACUGGGACUGAGACGCGGCCCAGACUCCUACGGGAGGCAGCAGUGGGGAAUUUUGGACAAUGGGCGAAAGCCUGAUCCAGCCAUGCCGCGUGCAGGAUGAAGGCCUUCGGGUUGUAAACUGCUUUUGUACGGAACGAAAAGACUCUGGUUAAUACCUGGGGUCCAUGACGGUACCGUAAGAAUAAGCACCGGCUAACUACGUG
rnacentral:rRNA from 1 species